rnacentral:rRNA from 1 species
UCCGUAGGUGAACCUGCGGAGGGAUCAUUACUGAGUUUUUAACUCUCCAAACCAUGUGAACUUACCACUGUUGCCUCGGUGGAUGGUGCUGUCUCUCGGGACGGUGCCACCGCCGGUGGACUACCUAAACUCUGUUAAUUUUUGUCAAUCUGAAUCAAACUAAGAAAUAAGUUAAAACUUUCAACAACGGAUCUCUUGGUUCUGGCAUCGAUGAAGAACGCAGCGAAAUGCGAUAAGUAAUGUGAAUUGCAGAAUUCAGUGAAUCAUCGAAUCUUUGAACGCACAUUGCGCCCAUUAGUAUUCUAGUGGGCAUGCCUGUUCGAGCGUCAUUUCAACCCUUAAGCCUAGCUUAGUGUUGGGAGACUGCCUAAUACGCAGCUCCUCAAAACCAGUGGCGGAGUCGGUUCGUGCUCUGAGCGUAGUAAUUUUUUAUCUCGCUUCUGCAAGCCGGACUGGCAACAGCCAUAAACCGCACCCUUCGGGGGCACUUUUUAAUGGUUGACCUCGGAUCAGGUAGGAAUACCGGCUGAACUUAAGGCAUAUCAAUAAGGCGGGAGGGGAAGGUCGGACUGGCCAAGGGCACACAGGGGGGGAUA